UAUAUAUGUUAUGUGUGCGUGUGUAUAUAUAUAUAUAUAUACACACACACACAUAAAUAUUGAUG
rnacentral:miRNA from 1 species